rnacentral:rRNA from 1 species
CAGCCGCCCGGUAAAACGGAGGGUGCAAACGUUAAUCGGAAUUACUGGGCGUAAAGCGCGCGUAGGCGGUUCGUUAAGUCUGUUGUGAAAGCCCCGGGCUCAACCUGGGAAUGGCAAUGGAUACUGGCGAGCUAGAGCGUGUCAGAGGAUGGUGGAAUUCCCGGUGUAGCGGUGAAAUGCGUAGAGAUCAGGAGGAACACCGAUGGCGAAGGCAGCCCCCUGGGCCUGUACUGACGCUCAUGCACGAAAGCGUGGGGAGCAAACAGGAUUAGAGACCCCAGUAGUCCCUGUCUCUUAUACA